rnacentral:lncRNA from 1 species
UAAUUAAAAACCAAUUGUUCAGAGAACUAUUGAUGGUCUUUCCACCAGUAAGGAUCUUUUUUUAUAUGAAAAUAUUAAAAAUUUGGUUUUAAAUGUCAAUUGAACCGUCAAAUGACAGUUUAAUGAACGUUGAUUCCAAAAAAUGUAUGGUUUUAUGGAAAAAGAUAUAGAUAAGGGAGAUAAUUGUUAACUUCCGGUUCAAACGACGUAAUUUCCGGUAUAGUUCGAUAGUUUAAUUGACACUGAUUCCAAAAAUAUAUGGUUCUAUAUACUUUUACAUUUAUUUAGAACAAAAAAUAGCUACUUCCGGUAAACAAAAG